rnacentral:rRNA from 1 species
CAGUAGCCGCGGUAAUACGAAGGGUGCAAGCGUUAAUCGGAAUUACUGGGCGUAAAGCGUGCGUAGGCGGUUUGUUAAGUCUGCUGUGAAAUCCCCGGGCUCAACCUGGGAAUGGCAGUGGAUACUGGCAAGCUAGAGUGUGUCAGAGGAUGGUGGAAUUCCCGGUGUAGCGGUGAAAUGCGUAGAUAUCGGAAGGAACACCUGUGGCGAAAGCGGCUCACUGGACCAUAACUGACGCUGAUGCACGAAAGCUAGGGGAGCAAACAGGAUUAGAUACCCCAGUAGUCCCUGUCUCUUAUAC